rnacentral:tRNA from 28 species
AGGGGUAUAGCUCAGUUGGUAGAGCGACGGUCUCCAAAACCGUAGGUCUCGGGUUCGAACCCUGAUGCCCCUGCCA